GGUUGCGAUCAACCCAGCACUAAUGCACCGGAUCCCAUCAGAACUCCGCAGUUAAGCGUGCUUGGGCGAGAGUAGUACUAGGAUGGGUGACCCCCUGGGAAGUCCUCGUGUUGCAACCC
rnacentral:rRNA from 1 species